ACUCACUUCCUCAUUCUCCCUUAACUAUUUACACAAAUGUAUCUUACUUGUGUAUCACUCGACUGGAGAUCUUCAAAUCAUUCCUGAAUUGGGGCUGGCACUGUCCUUCCUUCUGGGGGGGGGGCUACUUUUGUUCCCCAUGGUCCCUGUGUGUGUUGUAAAG